CCAAGCGCCGGGCAACUGCCCUCUCCCAACUUCCCCUCGAGAUGCCAAAGCCCUGAGUCUGUCCCGGCGCUUUCCGUGCCCAGCACCCGGCCUUCCCUUUGCCCCUCUCGGACGUUACCUUGACAAGCAGCCUCGCGGGAAAAAGGCUCCAGCGUGGACCACCCCUGCGUGACGCCCAGAAGAGGCGGGCCGGCAGAGCGGAUGGGCGCGCGAGGGCAGCGUCUCCCUUCACUUGUUGGCUGAGGGGUCGAGCGAGCCUCAAAAGAGGCUCCGAGAUGCUUUCCCCGUAGAGGUUGCGUGGAGCGAGCGAGGGGCUGCUGGCGAAGAUGUGGAAAAUCAAUUUGCUGGAGAGAAAACCAAUCAAGGAAUGGUUUAUCAGCACAAGCCCAGGAAGGGUGUUGUCACAGGAAAAUUGCUGCCUUUAUAAAAUGGUCAUGCACACACAGAUGGAGGAAAAAAUCUGAACCUUUAAAAUGCAAACGUCAUCUUGUAUUUACAUAAGAUGAUGGCAGGAUCCAGGUCACAGUGCAAUGGAUAUGAGAGGAGAUUCCAUGAGGAUGACUGUGCACCUGCUUGCCAACACUGGACAUGCAAUACACUUGCAACAAGUUCUUGAUCAACUUCAAGAAUGGAUCUGCCUGGAUGUUCGCCUCUUUCUUGUCUCAGAAUGCCCUUCUCCCAUUAAGUAUUAUGAGACAUAUCGCCAAAAGAGUUCCAGGUUUCCUAGUACUUCUGUUCUCCUUUUUUUGCAUGAGGACUUUGGAGAAGAACGGUUUUUCCAGGUACAUGACUUCUUUCAACAUCCACCUUGGCAACCUAUCCACAUUGAGUAUCCCAGCAGGAAGCUAUCCCUCCAUGCUCUUGAUCAUCAGGACUUCUAUGGACUGGAUGAGCAUAUGCCGGUAUGGGGCCUGAGACAAGUUCACUAUGGCAUGGAAAUCCUGCGUGUCACUCUCUAUUGUAGCUUUGAUAAUUAUGAGGAUGCAGUAAGACUUUAUGAGACAAUCCUGCAGAAAGAAGCAUCUGUCCAAAAAAGCAGCUUCUGUGCUUUCCUACUGUACACAACACAGAGCCUCGUGGUUCAGCUCUGCUUGAAGCAGCUGCCUUUGGGGAUGAGUGUUGACCUGAAGGAAUCUUCAGUAUUACAGUUCAAAGUGCAUGAAAUUGGACAGCUGGUUCCACUUUUGCCCAAUCCCUGUGUCCCAAUAAGCAAUACUAGGUGGCAAACGGAAGACUAUGAAGGAAAUAAGAUCCUGCUGCAGGUUCAAAGCACAGGCUCAGAGCACAAUGGAACUCAGUCUCUACCUCCCAAUUUGCGCAACAGCACUGAUGAGAAAGUGUCUCUCCGUUACCGCUGUGAUUUAUGUUCCAGUGUAAUGACUCCCAGAACUGCUGUUCAGCAGAAAAACCGGACUCUUCGAGCCAUGAAAAAUAAAAACAAAUCUGCAAGGAGGAUGGUGCAAACUCCUACAAGUCUUUUCAGUCCUUCACAAAGCAGCUUUAAUUCUUCCUCCAGUUUGUAUAAUAUAGUACAUUCUUCUUUGCAAGAUCUAGGCCCUUCCCCAAUGAACCUGGGCACUAAAUUGAGACAUUCCAGCCAUGAGCUGUGGCUAUCCCAGAACAAAGCAGAGGAGGAGGAAGAGACUAAUGUUGACACAGGCAAGAGAGUAGUACCUUUCACAUGUGCUAACAACUCUCCCCUAAACAGAUUUUCAAAGGACUUACAAAAAGAACUUCUUCAGUCCCAGGCACCAAGCAGUUCAUUUAUGGAAACAGGUUUGGGUUCUGAGGACAGGAACUCUCUAUUGUCUUUACAUAUUGCUGAACUGAAUAAAAGAUCAGGAUUUAAUCAUUUUCAGCUGAGCACAUCAGGAGCAAGUGAUGGGAAUGAGAAAGAUGAGGAAGAGUUUUUUAUAUGAUUUGAAACUUCCAUGUGUCUUUUACUGCCUUAUUUUUGGAAUAUCAGAAAGUACAAUUGAUCUAUGCUUCUGUAUAAAUAAUCUGGCAGUGUAUGCUACCUUUUUAUAUUAGCACGACAAAGAAAGGUUUACAAAAGCUGUUGCCAAAAGAGCAAAAAAUGUUUAUGGAUUAAAGUUAGAACUUGGGGAAAAAGAAGAGGAAGAAUUUUGCAAUAGAAAUUUCACGUACUGGAGAACAUUGCUCAAUAGAUUGGAAGAAGCCACUCAUUUUAAUGCACCACAUAAACUUACAGAAAUUCACUAAAAAUCUAGGAGAAAAACUGAAAUCUAGGAAAGCUAAAAGAAAUUUGGGAGACGUCAAGUUGGGAUGAUGAAAACAGUGCUUUGUUUAAUCUUAACUUAUCUGACUCAUAUGAGAAGCUUGUUAGUUCUUGGGUAGGGCCUCCAUGAAAUAUCCUAGAAGAAAGCAAUGGCAAAAUAUUGCCACCAAGAAAAUACAUGGACACAUUUAUGAAAUCAUGAAGGCAGAGGUGGAAGGUCUGAGGCUCUCAAAUCAUAUGUGACACCGAAAAGCCUUGGGUGCCCCAGCAAAGUGCAAAUAGCAAGACCAGAGAAGCAGAUAGCUAGAAGAGGUGCAGCCAGUCUGAGAAGGCAUUUGAAGCUACAUACAACAAUAUUUUGAAGCAGAAUCAAGAGAAGGUAAAGCCUCAACUUUCCUGCUUCCCAGAGAAGUAUUCGGUGUGCUUCAGAUAAAUGUGCAAGAAAAGGGAAAACAUUCAAAACAGCUGGAGAAACUUGGAAAAGCCAGUGCUACUUUGACAGUUUGAAGAAAGAACCAACAAUGUGGGCAUGCUACUGGUUGAAUCAUCUAGGGAGUUGCACCUGACAGGUGCUAGCAAUGGGCCAUCUCUGACGUGCCUGCAUAGUGGAUUCUUCUCACCCCUGAGGUGAGGAUGGCUUCAUCUUUUCUGAGCUUCCAAAGAUCCCUCAAGACCUGGUUAUUCCAGUAGGCGUGAGGAACCCGGGGGAUGAGAAACUAGUGAUGUGGCUCCAUUAAUUAUUAACAUCCCUUCAUCUAUAAUUCUUUGUUUUAGCUCUGUUCUUAUAGUUGUUAAAUUUUAAAAAAUAAUGAUAAUUGUCUUAGUUAUUUAUUGUUUUAGUUUUGUUGUAGGCCACCUAGUGUCACUUGUUUGUGAGGUGGGCAGCUAUAUAACUGUGAUAAAGAUUUAAAAUAUUAUUACAUAUCAUGAAAUGAUUCACUUUGGAUUAUUAUUUUUCUAAAACACAGAUAAUCAUUUUAUUGGCUGAUGAGAAGUGCAAAUAGGAGAACACACAAAAUUAUUGGUAUGUCCACAUAGGAUAAAUAUAAUACAUAAAUGUUAGCCAAAUUUCCCAAAGGUGUUCAUGGUUGUGUUCCACCAAACAGCAAAUUCUGGGAUUGGUUUUUUCCCAUAAUUAUUAUAAAAGCAAAAUUGAAAUGUUGGAAUCACUAUUGUUUUAACAUCUAGUAUAAUGACAGUUAAAUAAACCAGUAAUGAGUUUAGAUUAACAAAUAAACACGAGUAGUUUUUUACAAAAAGUAUAUAUAGUUGUUUUAGCAGGGAAUUUUUUUUUAAAUAUGGAUAGAAUUAUAGAGGAUAGAAAUAUUUUAAAGAAAUAAACAAUAAUCUGUACAUGAUAUGUAAUUACGUGGGAAAUAUGAAUUAAGUCAUAAGAGUAUAUCAAUGUGCAUAAUAGGCUGUGAUGAGAAAGUUGUUUAUUGAAUUUAUCUAGAAACAGGAGAAGAUACAAUCUGUUUCUAAUUCAAAUUAAAUGUUUGUUUUUUCCAGUGAGGCUAUUCAUAUUUACUGGAAUAUGCUACCUCUCCAUCUUGUGGUCAAAAAUGGCAAGUUUUCUUGAAGAUUUGUUAAUUGUAUAGAAUAGAGUAUUUUUCAUAACAUUCCUAUGAUUAUUUCGCACACCUGUUAUUUGGAAAAGUUGCUCAAAAUUUAUCUAGUCCUUCCAUACACCACACACAAAGUACAAAAGUAUCUCUACUGAAAAUAUUUGUAUAUAUAUGUCAAUAGUUGACAUCUGCUGAGGUUUUGGGCUCAAAUCUGAGGCAGAACAGAUACCAACUCUGCCUCUACUGGCAACACUGCAACAUGAAAUAACAGAUUUCACAAUAUCAGCAGUUGAUAAAUUGGAAAAUCUUUAUUUAAGGGAAUAAUAUAAGGAGGAACUAUUUGUUAAAGUGGAAUGGUGUUAAAUUCAAAUGGGAUUUUAUACUAAAAUGAUAAUGGCCAUUUUAUGGGCAUACAAAAUAUAAAGUGAACAGAUUUGGAAUAUUAGAUCUGAUAUUCAUUAAACCAAGGUCCAUUAAAUCAAGGGUUUAUUUUAUUUUGUCAUCUCUGGUUGAUCUUUAGUCAUAAUAAAUUUAAAUUUUAAAUCUUACUUUACUAUUCCGGUAGGGAUGAACAAGCCAUCUCAGUCAAAAGUCUAGAUGGAAACAAAUCUCUGAUAAGAAAUACGAACACAAAAAAAUAUUGAUAUUUUAAUGUUUUAGUCUCCCAACCACUUUUUCCUCUAAGAGGGUUACCUAGGAUAAUAGGCACCUCAAGAACAAAAUAUAACACUGCAGAAGUGAAAUACGUUAUACUGAAAAUCCCGGUAUUAUCUCCCAUGGCUUUACUAUUGAAUGAACAUAUAACAUAUAAAGUUAAUCAGCUUGCCAAUGCAAGAAUGCAUGCAUUGUUUACAUUACAAAUUUACAUUAUAAAUUUGUUAUACAAAAUACAAAAAGUUUACAUUACAGAUUUGUUACUCUUAAAGUAUUGUGAGAUUCUAAUGGUACAACACUAUCACAACUAUUCUGGAAAUGACUUAAAAUUUAAAGGCAAGACACUAUGGAUAUAUGUAUAGCUGUUUUUGACGGCAGCAAACCCAGACCAGUACCUUAAUCCUUUGUGUUAAACAAAUGAAAUGUGGAUUUACAGGUGGCUGUUACAUAUAAGCUGGGUUGACAAGAUCAGAAAUGAGGAGGUGAUAAGCCGCCUAGGAAAGCCAAGGGAAAUCAUCAAAACAAUUA